UACAGAGGUGGCAAGCGUUGUUCGGAAUUACUGGGCGUAAAGGGCGCGUAGGCGGUCCCGUCAGUCCUUUGUGAAAUCCCCCGGCUCAACCGGGGAACUGCACAGGAUACUGCGGGGCUUGAGUUCGGGAGAGGGAAGCGGAAUUCCGGGUGUAGCGGUGAAAUGCGUAGAUAUCAGGAGGAACACCGGUGGUGUAGACGGCUUUCUGGACCGUAACUGACGCUGAGACACGAAAGCGUGGGUAGCAAACAGG
rnacentral:rRNA from 1 species